rnacentral:rRNA from 1 species
GUGUCAGCCGCCGCGGUAAUACGUAGGAGGCAAGCGUUGUCCGGAAUUACUGGGUGUAAAGCGCGUGUAGGCGGCAGGCCAAGUCUGGGGUGAAAUCGCUCGGCUCAACUGGGCGGGGUCCCUGGAAACUGGUCAGCUGGAGGACGGUAGAGGUGAGUGGAAUUCCCGGUGUAGUGGUGAAAUGCGUAGAGAUCGGGAGGAACACCCGUGGCGAAGGCGGCUCACUGGGCCGGUCCUGACGCUGAGACGCGAAGGCGUGGGGAGCGAACGGGAUUAGAUACCCGUGUAGUCC